AUUGAACGCUGGCGGCAGGCCUAACACAUGCAAGUCGAACGCGUGGCGGACGGGUGAGUAAUGCCUGGGAAACUUCCCGAUGGAGGUGGAUAACUACUGGAAACGGUAGCUAAUACCGCGUACCAUAGGAUCUGCCCAGAUGGGAUUAGCUUGUAGGUGAGGUAACGGCUCACCGAGGCGACGCUCCCUAGCUGGUCGGGGAGGAUGACCAGCCACACUGGAACUGAGACACGGUCCAGACUCCUACGUGAGGCAGCAGUGGGGAAGAUUGCACAAUGGGCGCAAGCCUGAUGCAGCCAUGCCGCGUGUAUGAAGAAGGCCUUCGGGUUGUAAAGUACUUUCAGCGGGGAGGCGUUACCCGCAGAAGAAGCACCGGCUAACUCCGUGCCAGCAGCCGCGGUAAUAC
rnacentral:rRNA from 1 species